ACGGCCGCGCGCCCGCCGCCGCCGCCGCCGCCGCCGCCUCCAUGCUGCAGCUCGGGGCUCAGUUCCACGCGGCCAGGAGGCCGCCGUUGCCGACACGCGCAGCCUUGGGAAGCCUGGCUCCCGGGUCCGCCCCGGCCGCGGCCGCAGCCCCGGACCUCGGCUGCUUGCCUCGCGCCUGAACUGCGGACUCGCCCCAGCGCAGUGGCCAGCGGGCGGGGCGCUGUGUGCAGCGGCACGCAGGGAGGCGGUGAGCGUGUGCAGAGCUGCCCGAACGGAGGACUAUGUAUGUGUGUGCGCGUUUGCGCGUGUUUUUCAUUCUUCCCUUGAGAAUGUGAAUUGUUUAGCAGCUGGCUGCUCCCUUAGGAUUCUUGACUUUGGGGAGCUCUGGGCUGUGAGCACAGCCCACCCAUAUAAUCCAUUUUGCACCGUCGGUUAUAUCAGGAAAAAAAGCGCAACUGGACGGGGGUGGGGCAGACCAACGAAACCUUCUGGAGACACACACAUACACACACACUCACAGGAGAGAGGAAGAAUUGAAAGACUUGAGAAGACUUUGAUAACCUCCCUGCUGGCCCUUCUGUUCUCCGGAAAGAUCCUGGAUGUUGGCUACCUUUUCAAGUCAUCUUGGCAUGUCUCUAGUGUUUUGUAAGCCGCUUUCCAGCUAGCUGCGUGUCUGUGUGUGCGCGCGUGUGUGUACGCGCGCGCCUAUCUGAUGCAUUUGACUGUCUUUUAUCCAACUGCCCAGAAGCAAAUGUGUUAAGUCGGCGAUGCCCCUUCGUGCCCGGGUUCUUGCAGAGCUCUGAGGACGCCCAGACCCAUUUUCCUGGCUGGAUUUGGAGCGGCUGCUGGGCUGUGGACCCAGGUGUGUGUGGAUCGCUUUAUCCAGAAGCUUGGAAAGCGCCAGUAUUGACCUGCUUCCAGGUACAUCACAAGGUCAAUAGAGGGUCUUGCAGCUCUCUUGUUUCCGUGUAUCUACACCUUCUUCUCUUGGCCAGAGGAUAUUUACGUUUUGGUUCACAGUAUUUGAAGCCAAAAGUUCAGCCCUUCGAAGUGGUUUGCUAUACAAAACAAAACAAAACACAACAAAAAAGGUAAUGAGGAUUGCUUAUCAAACUGCUUAACAAAAUCCCCUACUCUUCCUCAGCCCUUUCUCGGUUCCCUCCUCUCCACCAAAAUGUCACCAGCUCUUGAAUUACGUGGAUUCGGGUUGGAGAAGAACUUGAAGGAAACGUGAUUACACGGCUAUGCGAGAACGCUCUCUUUGCUGCCCGCAGUCCUGUGGGCUUCAAAGCCAAUCGUGAGAAAGACUGGCUCCCUCCCUGCUGCUUCCUCCCCGUGGAGUGCCGGGUGUGCGUGUGCAAGUGUGAGUGCAAGUGCGCGCGCGCCCGGGUGCGAGUGUGUGUGAGUGUGAGCGUGUGUCUGUGUGUGCGUGCGCGGCCGCCCUGCCUCUGCCCGCUCCCCGGGCGCGGAGCCGCGGGUUUCAUGGGGCGAUUGCAGCGGAUCCCCCACCCAGCGCGACCUGCGGGCAGCGGCGGCAGUGGCAGGAGCUGCCUUUCCGACUCCCUAGGAUGCGGGUGCUGAGCUAUGGCAUAGGGCAGCGAAGUGACGAACGACACCCGCGUACGACUGUGAAAGCCACCUGGAGCCACCUUGCCGGGAUUGUACCUGCAGGCAGAAAGUCUUCCUACGACCGUCUUUUCCCCUAGAGGCACCAGAAUCCCUGUAACCAUUCAGCCAGGUGUUGAGAAGAUAUGUAGCAGCCGAGCACUCAUCUUUUGACACCAUCCUCUGAAAUCAGCUUUGGAGAUGCUUUCACUCUGUCCGUCUUCUGCAGCAGCCAGGCAGAGUGCUGACUCCUUCACAGCCGUGAGGAACUCUUCAGGCUCCAGAAGCUCUUAAAUCUGAUCUACAAUGGAAAAAAUUCUUUUUUAUCUGUUUUUCAUUGGCAUAGCAGUGAAAGCUCAGAUCUGUCCAAAGCGUUGUGUCUGUCAGAUUUUGUCUCCUAAUCUUGCAACCCUUUGUGCCAAGAAAGGGCUUUUAUUUGUUCCACCAAACAUUGACAGAAGAACUGUGGAACUGCGGUUGGCAGACAAUUUUGUUACAAAUAUUAAAAGGAAAGAUUUUGCCAAUAUGACCAGCUUGGUGGACCUGACUCUAUCCAGGAAUACAAUAAGUUUUAUUACACCUCAUGCUUUUGCUGACCUACGAAAUUUGAGGGCUUUGCAUUUGAAUAGCAACAGAUUGACUAAAAUUACAAAUGAUAUGUUCAGUGGUCUUUCCAAUCUUCAUCAUUUGAUACUCAAUAACAAUCAGCUGACUUUAAUUUCCUCUACAGCAUUUGAUGAUGUCUUCGCCCUUGAGGAACUGGAUCUGUCCUAUAAUAAUCUAGAAACCAUUCCUUGGGAUGCUGUUGAGAAGAUGGUUAGCUUGCAUACCCUUAGUUUGGAUCACAAUAUGAUUGAUAACAUUCCUAAGGGGACCUUCUCCCAUUUGCACAAGAUGACUCGGUUAGAUGUGACAUCAAAUAAAUUGCAGAAGCUACCACCUGACCCUCUCUUUCAGCGAGCUCAGGUACUAGCAACCUCAGGAAUCAUAAGCCCAUCUACUUUUGCAUUAAGUUUUGGUGGAAACCCCUUGCAUUGCAAUUGUGAAUUGUUGUGGUUGCGGCGUCUGUCCAGAGAAGAUGACUUAGAGACCUGUGCUUCUCCUCCGCUUUUAACUGGCCGCUACUUUUGGUCAAUUCCUGAAGAAGAGUUUUUGUGUGAGCCUCCUCUCAUUACUCGUCAUACACAUGAGAUGAGAGUCCUGGAGGGACAAAGGGCAACACUGAGGUGCAAAGCCAGGGGAGACCCUGAGCCUGCAAUUCACUGGAUUUCUCCUGAAGGAAAGCUUAUUUCAAAUGCAACAAGAUCUCUGGUUUAUGAUAACGGAACACUUGACAUUCUUAUAACUACUGUAAAGGACACAGGUGCUUUUACCUGCAUUGCUUCCAAUCCUGCUGGGGAAGCAACACAAAUAGUUGAUCUUCAUAUAAUUAAGCUCCCUCACUUACUAAACAGUACAAACCAUAUCCAUGAGCCUGAUCCUGGUUCUUCAGAUAUCUCAACUUCUACCAAGUCAGGGUCUAAUACAAGCAGUAGUAAUGGUGAUACUAAAUUGAGUCAAGAUAAAAUUGUGGUGGCAGAAGCUACAUCAUCAACGGCACUACUUAAAUUUAAUUUUCAAAGAAAUAUCCCUGGAAUACGUAUGUUUCAAAUCCAGUACAAUGGUACUUAUGAUGACACCCUUGUUUACAGGAAGUCAUGUUGGGAGGCUAUACCAUUAUCCCAAUGAUGCUGCCAUUGCUCAAAGCACUUUUGGAAUUAUCUUUAGAACCUUCAUCAUACUAUUUUGAAUAUCCUCAGUGGUGGCAAAUCUUCGUCUUUUGAGGGUGAAUUUGAAUUUUGGAAACAAGCAAAAGCCAUUUGGAGUCAAGUCUUGUGAAUAAGAAUGAUACCUCCUACGAGCAAAACUUUUCUGGUCAAUAAUCUGGCUGCUGGAACUAUGUAUGACUUGUGUGUCUUGGCCAUAUAUGAUGAUGGCAUCACUUCCCUCACUGCCACAAGAGUCGUGGGUUGCAUCCAGUUUACUACGGAACAGGAUUAUGUGCGUUGCCAUUUCAUGCAGUCCCAGUUUUUGGGAGGCACCAUGAUUAUUAUUAUUGGUGGAAUCAUUGUAGCAUCUGUGCUGGUAUUCAUCAUUAUUCUGAUGAUCCGGUAUAAGGUUUGCAACAAUAAUGGGCAACACAAGGUCACCAAGGUUAGCAAUGUUUAUUCUCAAACUAAUGGGGCUCAAAUACAAGGCUGUAGUGUAACGCUGCCCCAGUCCGUGUCCAAACAAGCUGUGGGACACGAAGAGAAUGCCCAGUGUUGUAAAGCUACCAAUGACAAUGUGAUUCAAUCUUCAGAAACUUGUUCGAGUCAGGACUCCUCUACCACUACCUCUGCUUUGCCUCCUUCCUGGACUUCAAGCACUUCUGUGUCCCAAAAGCAGAAAAGAAAGACUGGCACAAAGCCAAGUACCGAACCACAGAAUGAAGCUGUCACAAAUGUUGAGUCCCAAAACACUAACAGGAACAACUCAACUGCCUUGCAGUUAGCUAGCCGACCUCCCGAUUCUGUCACAGAGGGGCCCACAUCUAAAAGAGCACAUAUAAAGCCAAAUGCUUUGCUGACUAAUGUUGACCAGAUUGGCCAGGAAACACAGAGGUUGGAGUUAAUCUGAAGAGCACCACUUCUCCUCUCUCUCCUGAAAAAAUUUGCCACUGAUAUUUUUACUGGAUAAAAUUCAAAAAUGUUUCAAUUCACAAAGGCUAAUUGUUGAACUGGUGUCCUAGAAGAAACUGUCUACUGGAGCCGAGGUGAAAGUCUCUGAUGCUGGCGGAACUGGCUCCAUCAGAUCAUGGUUCAUCCUCUUUUAAAACCAAAUUUUUUUUUUCUUCUGGCCUACAAGUAUUUUUUUUUUAUUAUUUUCAGAAAGAAAAAAAGCCUACAUUGGCAUCAAGUUCUGUAUCAAUCCAUCUUACAUUGCCAUCCAUGAUUUAACAGACUGUAGAAUCUUGAAUAAUCUAUAUCACUUUAACAAAUAAAUGUUUUACUAUGACAGAA